rnacentral:misc_RNA from 1 species
GAUGAAGAACGUAGCGAAAUGCGAUACGUAAUGUGAAUUGCAGAAUUCAGUGAAUCAUCGAAUCUUUGAACGCACAUUGCGCCCGCCAGUAUUCUGGCGGGCAUGCCUGUUCGAGCGCCAUUUCAACCAUCAAGCCCCCCGGCUUGUGUUGGGGACCUGCGGCUGCCGCAGGCCCUGAAAAGCAGUGGCGGGCUCGCUGUCACACCGAGCGUAGUAGAUCUCAUCUCGCUCAGGGCGUGCUGCGGGUUCCGGCCGUUAAACCACCUUCAUAACCCAAGGUUGACCUCGGAUCAGGUAGGAAGACCCGCUGAACUUAAGCAUAUCAAUAAGCGGAGGA